rnacentral:rRNA from 1 species
UACGGAGGAUGCAAGCGUUAUCCGGAUUUAUUGGGCGUAAAGCGUCCGUAGGUGGUUCAUCAAGUCUGCUGUCAAAGCGCGAGGCUUAACUUCGUACAGGCAGUGGAAACUGGUGGACUUGAGAGUGAUAGGGGCAGAGGGAAUUCCCAGUGUAGCGGUGAAAUGCGUAGAGAUUGGGAAGAACACCGGUGGCGAAGGCGGCUUCCUGGACCGACACUGACGCUGAGGCGCGAAAGCUAGGGGAGCAAACGGG